rnacentral:lncRNA from 1 species
CUCUUUCUCCCUUUAGGGAUUUCAAUCAAAAUUUCACCUCCUCCUUUCCUUUAUUUAAACUUGGCCCGCUCGUGUUGAUUGUUGCACUCAGUGGAAGACCCCUCCUUGUUAAUGUCUUGUUUUGCUUUUUCUUGGCAUUCCUUUGACACUUCAAAAUCAAAUGAAAUCUAGAUUAAAAAAACAUAAAACAAUCAAAUAGUAUUACUUUUCUGUCAAAUAUUGGCUACCUCAGUCAACAUUUAAGUGUAUUAGUAACUGAUAUCAAAAUUUUGAAUUCCCAACCCUCGACAGUGUGUGUGUAUAUAUAUAUAUUAUCUUCGCCUUUUUCUUUGAACAACACUACUCUCUCAUCGAGUAUUUAACCCAUCUCUUCGCUUGAGUAACUCAUUCAAUUAUUUCUCUCUUCAUUCUCUACCUGGCAUUAUAUUUCAACUAUCGGUGUUGCCUUCUUCUCUAAAACCUGAAGUCCAUACCUACAUCAGAUUCCAAUUUCUCCAUUCCAACACAAAUCUCUCCUCCAUAACCAAUGGAAUCUGCUCCAAAGCUCAAGCAAAACCAUGGCUGCACUUUCCUCCAUUCCACUCAAUUGUUGAUAAGCGUUCUCUCGUCUUUCUUCCAACUUCAAAACUUCUUCAUUCUCAUUCUCCUCGUUUCCAUGGAAACUUACAUUUUCUUAAAUGGAUGGAAUCCCAUUUCCUAUUUCUUCCUCCUAUUGUCUUCUUAUACUUUCUGCAAAUACAUCAUUAAGCUUCCCAUUCUGAAUGCUCCUCGUCCUGUCUAUUUAGUUGACUUCUCAUGCCUCAAACCACCAAGCUUCUGCAGGGUUCCCUUCUCUCUUUUCCUUGAAAAUGCAACGUUGAUGAAUACUUUCGACAACAACAGCCUCAGUUUCAUGGCCAAAACUCUCAAAUCUUCAGGACAGAGUGAAGAAACAUGCCUCCCUCCAGCCCUGCAUUUCAUACCACCCAAAACCCAUCAACAAGAAUCCAUUCAUGAAGUUCAUAUGGUACUAUUUCCUGUCAUGGAUGAUCUUUUAACCAAAACCCAUCUCUCUCCUUGCGACAUUGAUAUUCUUAUUGUUAAUUGCAGUGGCUUUUGCCCUUCUCCUUCCCUGUCAUCCAUAGUCAUCAACAAAUAUUCCAUGAGAAGUGAUAUUAAAAGCUAUAACCUCUCUGGAAUGGGGUGCAGUGCAAGUGCUGUUGCCAUUCAUUUAGCUGAAAAUCUUCUUCAAGUACACGAAAACUCAAAUGUUGUUGUUCUUAGUACAGAAAUUCUAUCAAACGGUUGGUAUGCAGGAAAGGAACACUCCAGACUAAUCCUCAAUUGCUACUUCCGUAUGGGCGGUGCGGCUAUUUUACUCACCAACAGAAAAGAGGCGAAACUUUUUUCAAAAUAUAAACUAUUUAAAACCCUUAGAACACAGACAUCCUACGAUGAUAGAAGUUACCUUUCAGCCAUACGCGAAGAGGACAAGGAAGGAAAACUCGGAGUCUCUGUAACAAGAGAUACGCUUCAGGUUUUCCCCGAAACACUCCGUAUCAACAUAACCCUUCUGGGUUCUUCAAUAUUGCCGCUGUCUGAGAAACUCCGGU